rnacentral:rRNA from 1 species
UAUGUGAUCGUCUCUCGCAUAUCAAUAAGCGGAGGAAAAGAAACUAACAAGGAUUCCCCUAGUAACGGCGAGUGAAGCGGGAAGAGCUCAAAUUUGAAAUCUUAAAGGGUUUCCCUUUACGAAUUGUAGUUUAAAGAAGUGUUUUCUGUUGAGGUUUUGGUAAAAGUUCUUUGGAAUAGGACAUCAUAGAGGGUGAGAAUCCCGUAUUUGACCUUUACUUUCAACUUUGCGAUACACUUUCAAAGAGUCGGAUUGUUUGGGAAUGCAGUCCAAAAUGGGUGGUAAAUUUCAUCUAAAGCUAAAUAUUGGCGAGAGACCGAUAGCGAACAAGUACCGUGAGGGAAAGAUGAAAAGAACUUUGAAAAGAGAGUUAAACAGUACGUGAAAUUGUCAAAAGGGAAGCGUUUGACACCAGUGUUGUUUUUCUGAAAAUCAAUUAAAGAACUGUUUAUGCUAAGUUGUUUAGACUUUAUCAACUAACUGUUUAGUUUUGAGCUUUUCUUUAAUGCACUUUUCAGUUAACAAGUCAACAUCAAUUUCUUUUGCUGUAAAAAAGCUUGAGGAAGGUGGCUUGAGAUUCGUCUUAAGUGUUUAUAGCCUCUUGCCUAUGCAGUCGGAGAUAUUGAGGUCUGCAGCGUAGAUCCUUCGGGGCUAAAUGCAUUUGUGCUAAGUUAUAGCAUUUUAUAGACAACUUGUUGACUAUGAUUUGUCUUGCAGCUUACUCGCUUAUGUUAUUUUACCUACGCUUAGGAUGUUGACACACGCGCGUGCUCGGCACUAUACAUGACUCUGUGCAUGCAGCAUAUCAAUAAGCGGAGGAAAAGUAAAUGCUGUAUACCUACGCUUAGGAUGUUGACACACGCGCGUGCUCGACUCUAUACAUGACUCUGUGCAUAUCAAUAAGCGGAGGAAAAGAGGCUAUUACCUACGCUUAGGAUGUUGAACGCGCACAGAGUCUC